ensembl:miRNA
CCUGGCACUGAGAACUGAAUUCCAUAGGCUGUGAGCUCUAGCGAAUGCCCUAUGGACUCAGUUCUGGUGCCCGG